rnacentral:rRNA from 1 species
UACGUAGGGGGCAAGCGUUUGUCCGGAUUUAUUGGGCGUAAAGCGCGUGUAGGCGGCUUGGUAGGUCAGCUGUGAAAACUCGAGGCUCAACCUCGAGCUGUCGGUUGAAACCACCUUGCUAGAGUCCGGAAGAGGAGAGUGGAAUUCCUGGUGUAGCGGUGAAAUGCGCAGAUAUCGGGAAGAACACCCGUGGCGAAGGCGGCACUCUGGGACGGUACUGACGCUGAGACGCGAAAAGCGUGGGGAGCGAACAGG